GGAAGCCUCUAAUAUAACACUGAGCUGGAAAAUCAGAAGUAGGAAGAAAGAAAAAGAUGUCUUCUCUCUUAUCCUGCACACUCACGUUCUACUUCAAAGUGAAAAGGGAAUGCAGAGCACAAGGUUCCAUCUUGAAAAAAGAGAAUGGCCUCACCAGACACCACACCUGUGGUACCUUGACCUCGGAUUUCCCAGUCCCCAGAACUACACAAAGUAAUGAAAAAGUUGCACUUUCAAAGACCGAACAGGUUCUUGUUUUGUUGCCCAGGCUGGAAUGCAGUGGUAGGAGCACAGCUCACUGCAGCCUCAACCUCCUGGGCCCAAGUGAUCCUCCCAUCUCAGCCUGCCAAAGUGUUGAGAUUACAAGUAUAAGCUGCUGUGCCUGGCCAGAAGAUUUCAAUCACUGCAAAACUUGUAUUGGAAAGUGCUAAUAAAGAAUUGAUUUUCAGUGAAUGGUCUGUAUUCCAUCAUCAUUGGCCUUACAUAAAAGUUUGUUAAAAAUGCAGAUAAUUACUAUGAUCAUUAAUAUUUGAGAAGUUCAUUAAAAGUGCUCUAAUUUACUAAUAAUGAAUUUAUUUAUUUUAUGUUUUUAUUUUUAUUUUGAAACAGAGAGUCUCGCUCUGUUGCCAGGCUGGAGUGCAAUGGCACAAUCUUGGCUCACUGCAACCUCUGCCGCCCAGGUCCAAGCGAUUCUUGUGCCUCAGCCUCCCGAGUAACUGGGACCACAGCUCUGCACCACCACUCCUGGCUAAUUUUUUGUAUUUUUAGUAGAGAUGAGGUUUCACCAUUUUGGCCAGGCUGAUCUUGAACUCCUGGUCUCAAUUGAUCCGCCCGCCUCAGCCUCCCAAAGUGCUGGGAUUACAGGCGUGAGCCACUGUGCCUGGGCUGACAAUGAAUUCAAAUAACAGAUUUCGCCAAAUGUUUGAUGCUUUAUGUCUUAAUGAUAUCAAAUUAUAUGUUAUUAAUUCAUUUAUAAAUAUUAAUCCAAUAUUAUUUAUUGAGCACCUACAAUUGGCCAGGCACUAUGCUGGGCACAUAGAAACAAAAUAAAAAUGGUCUAGGAUUUAUUUUGGAAUAGUAUAGAAAUUAGAAUAAUAACAAUAAAGAUAUUUAGAUAAAUUAGAUAGAAAGAAACACAUUUUUUCUAAAUGCUAUGAAGGAAGAAGUUACAGAGAACAAUUGGGAAGUAAAGAGAUACAAGAGAAGAUUGUCGGGACUGUUAAAAUGAUAACAUUAAAUGUAAGAACCAAAGAAUAAAAGAGUCAGAGAGGAUAAUUCAGAACAUUGCUUACUCAUGAGUAGGUUUCAUCUGUGACCAUCCAUAGAGAUUGUGAACAUCGUAAUGCAAAACUGAUGUUCCAUCACUAAGAAUCUGCUCAGCUUCCAUGCAAAUUGUUCUGAAAUGUAAUCCAUCAGUUCUUUUUGUGAGUUCUGGAAAGAAUCAAUGAAAAAAUAUUAAUAUAUUAUACAGUGCCCUACAAUGAAACGUGUAACUCAUAAUUAUGUAUUCCUUGACAAAGAAAUUAAUCAGUGUUUUAUAAAACCUAUGUAUAUUUUAACCAUUUGUAUACUUUGUAUGAGUUAAUUAUCAACUUAAAAUGGCCUGAAAUUGUAACUGAAUUACAUGAAUUAAUAAAAACCUGA
rnacentral:lncRNA from 1 species